GAUGAAGAACGCAGCGAAAUGCGAUAAGUAGUGUGAAUUGCAGAAUUCAGUGAAUCAUCGAAUCUUUGAACGCACAUUGCGCCUGCUAGUAUUCUGGAGGGCAUGCCUGUUCGAGCGUCAUUUCAACCAUCAAGCCCUAGGCUUGCGUUGGAGCCCUGCGGCUGCCGCAGGCUCCCAAAUCCAGUGGCGGGCUCGUCGUCGUACCGAGUGCAGUAAACAUCCUCGCUCAGGGAACGUGACGGGUUCUUGCCGUGAAACCCCCCACAUAUCAAGGUUGACCUCGGAUCAGGUAGGAAUACCCGCUGAACUUAAGCAUAUCAAUAAGCGGAGGA
rnacentral:misc_RNA from 1 species